UGAUAUGUAGCUCCGAACUCUGCUCUCCAAGCCUGAUCAUCAUCGUAGUCAUCGAAACUUACACCUUCUGUUUCAUGCUCUGAUACUUGUUCUAUUUCAUUCUCCUCAUCCUUGUACCAUGGCUGCAACAAUGCUGACCCUGGUAAUUUACUCUCUGCUAAGUAUUGCUUCAUUAUCCCUAUUUCUGUCUUGUGUUUGCUCUUUAGCUGUUCCAUUUGCUUCUUCAGCCCCUCUUUCUCUUCUUCCACCACGUUGAAUCGUUCCUGCAAUGAUGGUUUCAGGAGUUCAAGUUGAGCCAUUUAGUAAUACCAAGUUUUUCAAACAAGAAGCAUAAGUAAAGUUCUUUUUUAUGGUCCAAUAUCAACUGGGCAAGAGUUUUGUCUAGUUACCUCAGAGACUUGUAAGGCUUGUUCAGAUUCCCUGAGUCUGACAAGUAGUUCACCAGCAGCUUGGACAGCUUCAGCUGUAUCCUGAACCUGAGUUCUUAGGCUCCUGUUCUCCUUCUUCAAGAUCUCUCUUUCUUUCUCCUUCUCAGCUCUGAUGGCUGAAAGCUCAGCUGAAAAGGCUUUGGCAAAACGCUUGCCAUGGCGACCAUUCAUAGCGGCCUUGGAUGCUGCCUUCUUUACAUCUGUUAUUCCAGCCAUCAUCACACUGUGCUUCUCCCCAAGUUCAUUGUACUUCUCCUGCAGCUCUGUGUACUGCUCUAUGAAUCUACUGUGGCCAAGCAUAGCUCUAGUGAGUGCGUCAUUCAACUCUUCAGUGGCUAACUUCUCUUGGUUCAGCUCAAUCUCAAGAUUCUCAGCGCGACUACGAUGGCAAUCGAUAUCCAUUCUGAGAUCAUCUGUUAAGGAUAUCCACUCGCUCUCCAUUUCUGUCCACAUCUCCCUUUCUUUCGCUAGAACAUCACUGUUCUCACCAAUCUUGGUAACAUCAAUGCUUUUGCGCAUUUGAAUGGACCGUAGUAGCAACGAGGAUCUCAGAUUGUCUGUAGAGUUAGUAGGUUGUAGCUUGCUCUUUAGGUCUGCAAUUUCUUUGAGAAGAGAUUCCUUUUCGCUUACAUCAAAGUUUGUUUUUCGAAACUCUUGGCUAACUUGUUUUUUCUCAUAUGUUUCUUUGAUGACCUCGAUUCCAUCUUCCCCAUCACCAGAUUUCCUAAGCUGUUAAAAAGCCAGAACAUAGUUUAUUCAGUUUAGAUUUCCAUUUUUGUCAAAAGUUAUCAAUGACAAUCAACUGGUAGCUUCACAGGAUCCUCCAUAGCUUUGUUGUAUAUUGGUCCUGAAUAUUUUCAUAGGUUUACAAGGUUCUUACCAAGCGAGUUAGCUCCUCAAUUUUAGCUGCUUGCUCUAUACACAUGUUCUUGAGAUGUUUUUCAUUCGAACCAGCUUCUCUUACCUUAUAUAGGAGAGAAUAUAAAAUAAGUUGCCAAGUAUAUUUACCAAAUACUAAUGUUAUAGUGAAUGUGGGAAAAAAUCUCAGGUUUUGUAAACUUACUUCAGCUUCUUGUUCAACUUUCUGUUUACAUGAAAGACAUAGGGGAAUCGACGAUAAUCCACCUUCUGGAGCUUUGUCUUUUCUAAAAGAUUGGACUGAAGCAUUAAGAUUGUCAGCUUCUGCGCAGGGUUUCAAUGCCAUAUGGCCAAAAGAGAAGGAAACAGAAGAACUUUUUGAUAGUGAGCUCCCUUGAUGAUAGUCUAUAAUUUGCAGUCCUCUCUGAAGACUAGCAGCUAGAGAAUCUGUAGGACCUGAAAGUUUAUUUGACAUAGAAGGGCUAACUUGAUUGACUUUCAUGUUACCAAUGGUGGAACUGUCAGACACAUUCCGAGGACUUGCUGAAAACUUGGUCGAUGCAGCCACGCUUUUCUGGACAUUCUUAAACUUAGGUGAUUCUGAGAAAAUCGGCUCUUCUAGAAUACAUGUAGGAAGCUGUGAUCUGAUUGCAAUGCCACUACCGGCUGCACAGAAUCCAACAUUGUCGAGCUCGCUUGGAGCAUCAUCUACAAAGUCAGCAUCUUUAUGGUUUCCAUGCUUGGGAUUCUCCAGUUCUUCUGAACAGACAUCAUCAUCCUCCUCACUCAUCGACUCUGCCUCAUAGCAUGAAGCACUUGCAAAUGAGGAGUGGACAGAAUCAAAAGAACCAUGAAACUUGUCAAUAUGUUGAUUCAACUCCAGCACAUCAUCACCAUCCACAUUCAUCUCUUGCCCCUCAGAUUCAUCUUUUCUUGGGCAAGACAUGAGUAAAGAUUUGUUGAUACUAACUCUCAAUUGACUCAAGCUGUCCCUUGCAAAGUGUCCAUUCUUACUUGCAUGAGGUUUGUACCCAUCAGACUUUGUUCUUAUAAGCUCUUCCUGUAACCAAAAUUACAAAAUGUUGAUACCUCAAUGUCAGUAUAUACAAACAAACUCACAUCAGAUAUGUAGAUACUUGUAGCUAUGUGACAGUAACAAAAGCAAAAACCUUCAGCUCUCGAAUCUGGUCACCCAAGGGGUCGUCAUCUUCCUCUGUAAUUUCUCUAGGCAUUGAAUUGGUUCUUCUAGAAAGUACACUUGUGGCUACAACCUUCACUGGUGAAUUCACAAGACAUUGCUUGUCUUCGGCAAAACCGCUUUGUCCCAUUUUAUUGUCCUGUUUAAAGUUUCCAAAGGGUCUCUCAGUAAUUAGUUGAUAUCUAAUCUAACACUAGCACAGAUGACAUCAAACAUGGUUGAGCGACUACAAAGCAACCAAAAAAAAAACAUGAAAUCGAAAGGCGUGAAACCAAAAUGAAGUAACUUAGAAAGUUUUAAGCUUUUCACGAAGUACCUCAAUAAGCUCUCCGAGAUUUGCUAGGGUCUGCUUCGUGAACUGAUCAUCAGCCUGUUUGUUUGGAUGUACAGGAAUCACGUUCUCGUCGUUGGAUCUGGGGAUCUUAAUUUCUGGGUUUUGGAUUGGUUUCUGCUUUGCUGAGAUGGAUUUUGGAAGCAAGUUUCGGAUGG
rnacentral:lncRNA from 1 species